rnacentral:piRNA from 1 species
UAGGGAAAAUGCUCUGGGUGGCCA